UUAUUACAAAAGAUGCAUCUGU
rnacentral:snRNA from 1 species